rnacentral:tRNA from 1 species
UCCUGGGUGGUGCAAAUGGUUAGCAUACUUGGCUGCUAACCAAAAGGUUGGAGGUCCAAGUCCACCCAGAGGCA